UACAGAGGCCUCGAGCGUUAGGCGGAAUCACUGGGCUUAAAGCGUGUGUAGGCGGACUUCUAAGUACCUUGUGAAAUCCCACGGCUCACCCGUGGAACUGCUCGGUAUACUGGUCGUCUUGAGCCUUCUAGGGGCGAGUGGAACAAAUGGUGGAGCGGUGAAAUGCGUAGAUAUCAUUUGGAACGCCAAUGGUGAAAACAACUCGCUGGGGAAGUGCUGACGCUGAGACACGAAAGCCAGGGGAGCAAACGGG
rnacentral:rRNA from 1 species